UGAGGAAUAUUGCGCAAUGGAGGAAACUCUGACGCAGCCAUGCCGCGUGCAGGAAGACUGCCCUAUGGGUUGUAAACUGCUUUUAUAUAGGAAGAACUUCAGAUACGUGUAUUUGAUUGACGGUACUAUACGAAUAAGGACCGGCUAACUCCGUGCCAGCAGCCGCGGUAAUACGGAGGGUCCGAGCGUUAUCCGGAUUUAUUGGGUUUAAAGGGUCCGUAGGCGGGCAAAUAAGUCAGUGGUGAAAUCCUACAGCUCAACUGUAGAACUGCCAUUGAAACUGUUAGUCUUGAAUAUAAUUGAAGUGGGCGGAAUGUGUCAUGUAGCGGUGAAAUGCUUAGAUAUGCCAC
rnacentral:rRNA from 1 species